rnacentral:lncRNA from 1 species
UAUUUUUUGAGCACAAAAACAAACAAUGUUUAGUUGAUUAAUGAAUAAAAACACAGAGGCUCGGUUCAGCUGUGGUCAAAUUUAAACAUAUAUUGAUGCUAUUAGUUCUGAAAAGAGGAAGAAUGUCAUGUUUCUAUUAUGUUGAUUACUGACCGUGUACUCUCAGUGCUGCUUUUAAAUUAGGUUUGAGGAAACGAGUCCAAAAAUUGAAUUCAUCUUCAAAGUAUUUUUAAAGGGACAUUUAAAAAAAAUUAAAUAAAUAAUACCAGACUAAGCGCUAUGGCCUGAAGACAGCAUUCACGUGUGUGUCUUUAAAAACAGUGUGAGGUUUAAUUAAUGAGCCUGGAAAAAACUGAUGUGAAAAAAAAAAAGCAAAGGUAUGAAAGUCUGAAUUCAGAUCAAUAAAACCAAAGUCGAAAUCCGACCCCACAUCUGCCUGAUCAGAAGACUGCGGAGUCUUGACAUUAUUAGCCUGUUCUCUCUCCACAACUAGUUUCCUGCCUGCUCCAUGUGCACGUGGAUGCACGUGUAUGUGCGUUUUGGAGACAAAACUGUGUUAACCUCUCCAGCAGUAAUCCUGCAGCCUGCCACUCUGGGCACAACAGAGUCAUACCAGGACAGCCUUCCAUGUCUGUCUGGAACACACAGAACCUUUAUUAUCUUGCAGUGAUUCAGGGGCAUCUGGGGACGACCUGAUUGUCUGCUGAAUCCACGCAGACGCAUAAAGGGCUCGGUGGUGUACGAUGAACCCACCGGUAACUGUGUGACGAUGCGCUGGGGAGAUGAACCAGAACGGUGUUUGGAGACGGCAGCCUCACCUGACUGUCUGGAGCCUCGCUGCUCUCAGCACACAAGACACAGCCUGGAUCUUGGCAUGGGAGUAUGGGUCAUACAAGGACAUCCCAGAAUAGGAAAAACAGCCCGGACAGAGCCUGAAGCAAAGCACUAAGGGUGGCAGAGAUCCAGCUGAAACCACUAUAGUACACCGGCCACUGGAAAGUUAUUGAAUACACACGCCGCAGGUACGUAUGUACACCAAUUAUUGCAACAGAAGUUUCAGGGCUGUGAGGUGAUUCUG